AGUCAGCCUGUUCUUUGGAGCUUUGAAGACAGGCAUUGACUUCUCUCUAGCUAUGAAAGUCCUAGAUGGCAU
ensembl:miRNA